rnacentral:tRNA from 1 species
GGAGAGGUGUCCGAGUGGCUGAAGGAGCACGCUUGGAAAGCGUGUAUACGGUUUACCCGUAUCGGGGGUUCGAAUCCCCCUCUCUCCGCCA